rnacentral:rRNA from 1 species
CAGUAGCCGCGGGAAUACAGAGGGUGCGAGCGUUAAUCGGAUUUACUGGGCGUAAAGCGUGCGUAGGCGGCUUCUUAAGUCGGAUGUGAAAUCCCUGAGCUUAACUUAGGAAUUGCAUUCGAUACUGGGAAGCUAGAGUGUGGUAGAGGAUAGUGGAAUUUCCGGUGUAGCAGUGAAAUGCGUAGAGAUCGGAAGGAACAUCUGUGGCGAAGGCGACUAUCUGGGCCAACACUGACACUGAGGCACGAAAGCGUGGGGAGCAAACAGGAUUAGAUACCCGAGUAGUCCCUGUCUCUUAUAC